rnacentral:lncRNA from 1 species
AGGAAGUCAUAAAUAUAUCAAUAAGAUCUUUGCUUGGAAGCAUAGCACAUGGCCUAAUAUUUUCUUAUUGUACAAUAUGAACUUCCAACAUACAAACAUCAAAGACAUCCCAACUAGCAAUAAGACAUCAUAGCUCAGAUUCUUUGAGAAAGGAAACAAGUACUACAAGAACAAAUCAAGAGAUUCAAGCCAUGAUGCAAUGUGGUCAAGAAAAGAUAGGUUUUGGCCUUUGCAAGAAAUGAAUGCGUGAAGUAGAUACUUGUUAUCGAGACAACAAUGGAUUGAUGUAGUAGAUAGUUGUUUGUUGAUCAUCCUAACUUGGCUCCAAUAAUCACAUGGUCUCAACACCUUCCUUGUUGGUGAGCCGAGCAUCCAACGCAUCUCCAAUUGUUCCUGAAACAACAAACAAACAAAAUGGUGCCCAAACUCAUUGGGACCAAAGAGUUAGAAACCAACAAUACAUAGGACAAACUCCACACACAUAUGUG